AUUGAACGCUGGCGGCAGGCCUAACACAUGCAAGUCGAGCGGAUGAAGGGAGCUUGCUCCUGGACUCAGCGGCGGACGGGUGAGUAAUGCCUAGGAAUCUGCCUGGUAGUGGGGGAUAACGUCCGGAAACGGGCGCUAAUACCGCAUACGUCCUGAGGGAGAAAGUGGGGGAUCUUCGGACCUCACGCUAUCAGAUGAGCCUAGGUUGGAUUAGCUAGUUGGUGGGGUAAAGGCCUACCAAGGCGACGAUCCGUAACUGGUCUGAGAGGAUGAUCAGUCACACUGGAACUGAGACACGGUCCAGACUCCUACGGGAGGCAGCAGUGGGGAAUAUUGGACAAUGGGCGAAAGCCUGAUCCAGCCAUGCCGCGUGUGUGAAGAAGGUCUUCGGAUUGUAAAGCACUUUAAGUUGGGAGGAAGAGCAGUAAGUUAAUACCUUGCUGUUUUGACGUUACCAACAGAAUAAGCACCGGCUAACUUCGUG
rnacentral:rRNA from 1 species